UGUAUGUGUACAUAUUAGUACAUGUAUUUGUGUGCACGUGUAUGUGUGUAUAUAUAGUACAUGUA
rnacentral:pre_miRNA from 1 species